rnacentral:rRNA from 1 species
UACGGAGGGUGCGAGCGUUGUUCGGAAUUACUGGGCGUAAAGCGCGUGCAGGCGGUCGAUUAAGUCCGGUGUGAAAGCCCGGGGCUCACCCCCGGAAGUGCGCUGGAAACUAAUCAACUAGAGUACGGGAGAGGGAAGUGGAAUUCCUGGUGUAGCGGUGAAAUGCGUAGAUAUCAGGAGAAACACCGGCGGCGAAGGCGGCUUCCUGGACCGAUACUGACGCUGAGACGCGAAAGCGUGGGGAGCAAACAGG